UACAGAGGUCUCGAGCGUUAGGCGGAAUUACUGGGCGUAAAGGGCGCGUAGGCGGCCUGCUAAGUCGAACGUGAAAUCCCUGGGCUUAACCCAGGAACUGCGUCCGAUACUGGUUGGCUUGAAUCCGGGAGAGGGAUGUGGAAUUCCAGGUGUAGCGGUGAAAUGCGUAGAUAUCUGGAGGAACACCGGUGGCGAAGGCGACAUCCUGGACCGGUAUUGACGCUGAGGCGCGAAAGCCAGGGGAGCAAACGGG
rnacentral:rRNA from 1 species